rnacentral:rRNA from 1 species
UACAGAGGUCUCAAGCGUUGUUCGGAUUCAUUGGGCGUAAAGGGUGUGUAGGUGGCGCGCUAAGUCGGGUGUGAAAUUUCGGAGCUUAACUCCGAAACUGCAUUCGAUACUGGCGUGCUUGAGGACUGGAGAGGAGACUGGAAUUCAUGGUGUAGCAGUGAAAUGCGUAGAGAUCAUGAGGAACACCGGUGGCGAAGGCGGCUUCCUGGACUGUCCCUGACGCUGAGGCGCGAAAGCUAGGGGAGCGAACAGG